rnacentral:rRNA from 1 species
AUGUGCACGGCGUUUGUGCUGCAGGCAGUGCUGCACCUGAUCACUGUGCUGGGGACCGACGAUGCCGACGGGGCCACACUGGCACACCCUCGUCAUCAAGAUUGUCAUCACCUUCAACAUGAUGUUCGUCACUUGAACCGUCGCCACAGACUCGAUGUUGGUACGUUCACCAAUCUGCCAGAGAUCCCCUGUUUUUAUUUCUUAAUUUUUACUAUCCUCUUGGUGGGCAUCCUCUUCUUCUCCAUGGUGCUCAAGCAACUGCAUAAGGAGGUUGGGUAUCUCGGAUUGGAUGUGAUGGAGGGCGCUGCGCAAGAGAGGUCAUGUUUGGACGACAUUUAA